GUUGAACGCUGGCGGCAGGCCUAACACAUGCAAGUCGAGCGGAUGAAGGGAGCUUGCUCCUGGAUUCAGCGGCGGACGGGUGAGUAAUGCCUAGGAAUCUGCAUGGUAGUGGGGGAUAACGUCCGGAAACGGGCGCUAAUACCGCAUACGUCCUGAGGGAGAAAGUGGGGGAUCUUCGGACCUCACGCUAUCAGAUGAGCCUAGGUCGGAUUAGCUAGUUGGUGGGGUAAAGGCCUACCAGGGCGACGAUCCGUAACUGGUCUGAGAGGAUGAUCAGUCACACUGGAACUGAGACACGGUCCAGACUCCUACGGGAGGCAGCAGUGGGGAAUAUUGGACACUGGGCGAAAGCCUGAUCCAGCCAUGCCGCGUGUGUGAAGAAGGUCUUCGGAUUGUAAAGCACUUUAAGUUGGGAGGAAGGGCAGUAAGUUAAUACCUUGCUGUUUUGACGUUACCAACAGAAUAAGCACCGGCUAACUUCGUG
rnacentral:rRNA from 1 species